rnacentral:rRNA from 1 species
GUAGGAUCCGAGCGUUAUCCGAAUUUACUGGGCGUAAAGCGCGUGUAGGCGGCCGGGUAAGUUGGACGUGAAAGCUCCUGGCUCAACUAGGAGAGGUCGUUCAAAACUGCCUGGCUAGAGGGCGACAGAGGGAGGUGGAAUUCCCGGUGUAGUGGUGAAAUGCGUAGAUAUCGGGAGGAACACCAGUGGCGAAGGCGGCCUCCUGGGUCGCACCCGACGCUCAGACGCGAAAGCUAGGGGAGCGAACGGGAUUAGAUACCCCGGGUAGUCCUAGCUGUAAACGAUGUGGACUUGGCGUUGGUGGGGUCAAAUCCAUCAGUGCCGUAGCUAACGCGAUAAGUCCACCGCCUGGGGACUACGGUCGCAAGGCUA